rnacentral:lncRNA from 1 species
UCAACCCUUCAGCCCUCCGACCAUCGGUCGGUCAUCGGACCCUCGCCGGCCACCGUACCGGCCGCCUAUCUCCGGCGCCGGUACCACCGUCCACGGUGGCCGAAAAAGGGAAAAUUCCCCUUUUAACCUUCUUAACCUCUUGAGCCUAGAUCCGGGCUCAAAUCUCGCGAAAUAUUGACGAAUGGGCCACUAGAAGCAAAGAAACCUUUCGGCUUCCGGUCGUCAAUCCUCAGUGACGACUUCCUCGGCCAUCCACGGCGGUUAGGGGCUCAAAAAUAGGUUUUUUCCUUCCUUUUAUAUUUAUAUUAUUUAUAUAAAUAAUAAAAUAAAUAGAUAUAAUUGAAAAAAAUAAAAAUAAAAUAGAAACGUAAAUAUCAACCUUUAUUCGCUUAUGCCUCUGUUUGUGAUGUAAAAGAUAGGGCCUUUUUAUUGAUUUCUAAAAAAUCCGGGAUCCCGUUACAAUGUGUUCAAUGGCUUUUUAUAGCCAUAUAAAAUAAAUCUAAAAAGAGAAAGAAAUCUGUUCUUGAUUUGAUUUUUGAUUCACUUUCCAUUUUCGUUUCUUUCUUGAUGCGCAGGUGAAGAUCGGGGAGAUUCGGCCUUGGCUCGGUUGCGGCGCUGUUGCUUCCUGGAAGCCCUAGGGUUUCCUGGAUCAGUUUUGGGCCACUAUUCGGUUUGGGCCUUUGUUUGUUUUUAAUUGGGCCACAUAGGUCAAUUAUAAAUUGGGCCCUUUAAAACCCGGGCAAAAUCUGUUAUUACAAUAUGUAAGAAUGUUAAAAUCUUGAAAUAAAAGUGACUAAAAAAGGUGCGCAACUUAAGAAGGUGAAGACCUGAAAAUAUAAAGAGAUCCCUAGCUUCAUGCUUCAAAAAGGAUAAAUAUGUAGAAAAUUACAUGACUUAAAAAGAUUAAGAGUUGGGUGACUUGAUGCCCGGAAAAGCUUAAGUAAGUACUUACGAGACAUGUGAAUUGUGGCUAUC